UUUAUGAGGCAAAGAUUCAUUUUAUUCAUCUUUAUCUUAAAGAUAAUUACCAGUUACAUCCAAUAAGUUAUUUUUUCUUUUUUAACCUCUACUCAUCUUAUUAGAGUAAAAGCUUUGACAUAAUGGGCCUAGGCCUACACAUGGCCCGUAAAGGAUCCAUCUUACGCAUACCCAACCCAGUACUCUCAGACAUAUCCAUCUCUUCCCCUUUCACAUUCUCCCAUUCAAAGCAUUGAAUCAACGAUCCAAGCGCCAAUGUCACAAUCCUCUGACCUAAUCCGGCGCCGGGACAAGUUCUCCGGCCAUUCCCAAACGGCAUCAGCUUGUAAACAUAGUAAUCGCUUCCGCAUCCGUCAUUAUAUCGAUCUGGAUUAAACUUCUCUGGCUCCUCCCAAAUCUCUGGAUCUCUAUGUAUAGCCCAAGCGUUAACCAUCACUAUCGUAUCUCGCGGGACGUCGUAACCUCCGAUUUUCAUGUCGUCCGUCGGUGAUCGAGGGAUUAGAAACGGCGCCACCGGAAAUAGCCGGAAUGUUUCGGAGACGACGUUUUGGAGGUAAGGAAGCACUGCGAUGUCUGAUUCGUCGAUUAGUCGAUCUUUUCCGAUCUUCUCAUCGAUCUCCGAUCUCGCCUUCUCCAGUACUUCUGGAUUUCUCAGUAGAUUCGCCAUCGCCCACUCUAAUGUCACAGCGGAGGUCUCAGUUCCGGCGAGCAUCAUCGACUUCACAAUUUCAAAAACAAUCAGGUUAAAAUCGAAUCUCACAAUUCACUUCAUUGAAAUCUCACAGAAGUUUAUAGAAUUUUACCAUCAUAAGGCCUUUGAUGAUAACGUCAGUGUAAUACUCAGGUUGUUGUUGUUGUAGAGAGAUCAAAUGAUUGACCAUUGUGUUACCUUCUUUAUCUCUUCUACAUUCAUCUAACAAACGCUGCAAAAUAUCAUCCAUUGAUUUGCCUAUAGCUUUAACUUCUUUCUCGAAUUUGUUUCCGAAUAGUUUUAGUAUUGGUAAGUAAUCAGCGGAAUGAUUAGCGCCGCUAUACAUGGCGAUAUCGUAGACUAGCUUCUUGAAUAGCUCUGCUUCUUCUUUGUUGUUGACGUCGUCGCCGUAAUAUCUCUUCCCUGUAACCAUUCUUACUAUGUUGUUGAAUGUUAGAUCAGAUAAGAGCGGUUCUAGCUCGAUGUGAGUGAAAUCGUUGCUUUCGUUGGAGGUUUGUGUGUAACGUGAGAGGCGUGUGAGCAUCCGUAAGAUCUCGUCUUUGCGGAUGUGUUGGAAGUUGAUGAGACGGUGAGAGGAGAGAAUCUCUUGGGAGCAAAUGCGGCGGAGGUUACGCCAGUGGUCGCCGUAAGGAGCUGUACCAACGGUUGUGUGGUUGUAUGCGACGUAUUUGGCGGUGAGUUGGAGCGGCCGGCUGGAGAGAACGAUGUCGUUUUGGCCGGUGAAGGAUUCUUGGGCGAGAGAAGGGGAUGUUAUGACCACGACGCGUCGGGAGCCGAAACGGAGGGAAAAGAUUGGGCCGUAUUGGUUGGAGUAGCGUUGGAGGAGACGGUGGAUCGGCGGUUUCAUGAGGUGGAGAUGGCCGACGAAGGGUCGUGACGGUGGUCCUGGAGGAAGGUUGAAACGUUGCGUUUUGGAGUAGAGAAAUUUGUAACUUAUUACAAGAAAUAGAAGAGGGAGAAGGAUGAAGUAUAACAUUUUGUCUCUCUCUUCUAGUUUCAGGAUGUUUGUGUUUUUUUCUACUUGUGCGAGGAUUUGGCUUAUGGUUUGUUUGUUCUUUUAUUUAUAGAGAAAAUUUUACUCAAAUCAAAGUAGUGAUGUCAUAUCUGUAACGUGACAAUUAGUAGUGGAACUUGAAAGUUGUGCUUUUCGUUUUAAAAGACCAGAGGAAAAAAACAAAAAACAUCUUCUACGAUUUCGAGUUCUCCAUAUUAUGAUUAUCAUUUCUCUCAAAACUCCAUUAUUAA